CCACCGUGAGAGAAUUAUUAUUCUUGUUAUUAUUAUUAUUAUUAUUUAAUUUUAAUUAAUAAAUCUAAAUUCAAUCACAGCGACAGCGAGAGCCCCCUGGUAAUGCAAGCCAUCCAUCCAUCCAAUUCAAGCCACGUUUCACUCCGAUCGAUCAAGUCAGCUAGGGUUUCUUUCUCCAUCCCCAAUUAGGCUUCCAACUCCCCGUUUGAUCGAUUCGCGUACAGCGGUAAGCAGCACGAUACUAUGUCGACGGCGAUACCGUCUCGUUCUCCCACCGGAGACGGCAACUCCGGCGUAGACUCGACGCCAUUUCUCGCGGGCCGGCGGUUGGUGCGCCGUACUCCGAGCCUCCGGGGGGCGGCGCGGUUCCUGCGACGAGCCAGCAGCCGCCGGAUGCGGGAGCCUUCGAUGCGCGUGCGGGAGGCCGCGGCGGAGCAGAUCGAGGAGCGGCAGAGCGACUGGGCCUACUCCCGCCCCGUCGUGGUGCUCGACCUCCUGUGGAACCUCGCGUUCGUCGGCGUCGCCGCCGCGGUGCUGGUGGUGAGUCGGAAAGAGUCCCCGUCGGUGCCUUUGAGGCUUUGGAUUAUAGGUUAUGCGUUGCAGUGUCUGGUUCAUAUGGUGUGCGUGUCCGUCGAGUACAACCGGCGUCGCGGUGGUGGUGGUGGUGGUGGAUGGUGGGGCAGAUUGAAUUCCAAUUCGAGCUCGGAGAGCGAGGCAGGAGGCGUCUCUGAGGAUUAUCUUCCGGAGCGGCCUCACGUUGAAGAUGACACCAGUGUUGCUAAGCAUUUGGAGUCUGCAAAUACAAUGUUUUCAUUCAUUUGGUGGAUCGUUGGAUUCUACUGGGUAUCUGCUGGAGGUGAAACUUUGACACAAGAUUCACCUCAACUUUACUGGCUUUGUAUAACAUUUUUGGCAUUUGAUGUGUUCUUUGUUGUCAUCUGCGUUGCUGUCGCAUGUCUCAUUGGUAUAGCUGUUUGCUGCUGCCUGCCAUGUAUAAUUGCAAUCUUAUAUGCUGUAACAGAUCAGGAAGGGGCAACGAAGGAAGACAUUGAACGACUGCCCAAAUACAAAUUCCGGAAUAUUGGUGAGUUUGAGAAACAAAACGGCGAGAUUCAAGAAUCUUUUGGAGGAAUCAUGACCGAAUGUGAUACUGACACACCAACUGAACAUGUUCUUUCCCUAGAGGAUGCUGAAUGCUGCAUUUGCCUUUGUGCCUACGAGGAGGGAACUGAACUGCGUGUACUCCCCUGCCGCCAUCAUUUUCAUUGCCCCUGCAUCGAAAAGUGGCUGUGCAUCAAUGCUACCUGCCCGCUCUGCAAGUUCAACAUACUAAAGAACGGCAACCAAAGUAGCAGCGAGGAGGUAUAGGACAGCCACAUCAGAUGGUAACAGUUUGUUACUUUUAUUAUGUAUAUCUCAUGCAUAAUCAGGAGUCUGCCAGUACUUAGUACACACCUCCCUGCUCCGAGAUGCAAGAGCCGAAUCGCGUUUAUAUGAGUGCUGCAGAGUCUGUUGUGUUUCUUCCCCUGGGUUCUUUCUGUCUAUUCUUCUUCCCUUGUUUGUGUUUGUAUAUGGCUUCUUUUCAGGCGCCCUAAGAGGUAAGCUCAAACCCUGUUUUUCUUACUCGUGUGUGAACUGCCAUUUAUGCACUGGAUGUUGAAAAGUGGGAACUUAUUUCGUAGAUGUUGGAAGGAAAUCGGGCCUUUCUUCAGACUUCUGUGUAAGAAUGACUAAAUGAAUAAAAGUUGUUAAAGAGGGUUACCCUUGUGAUUUACUCAAA